rnacentral:rRNA from 1 species
GCAUAUCACUAAGCGGAGGAAAAGAAACUAACAAGGAUUCCCUCAGUAACGGCGAGUGAAGAGGGAAAAGCCCAGCACCGAAGCCUGUGUCCAUUUGGUCACUAGGCAAUGUGGUGUUCAGGUCGUUCCGCAGAGGCACUGCUCCACUCCAAGUCCAACAAUGAGUACGGUAGUACGGACAUGGCCCAAAGAGGGUGAAAGGCCCGUGGGGGUGGAGAUUUCAGGCAGGCCAGUGUCUCUCUGGGUAGACCUUGGAGUCGGGUUGUUUGUGAAUGCAGCCCAAAGUGGGUGGUAAACUCCAUCCAAGGCUAAAUACUAGCACGAGUCCGAUAGCGAACAAGUACCGUGAGGGAAAGUUGAAAAGUACUUUGAAGAGAGAGUAAACAGUGCGUGAAACCGCUCAGAGGUAAACGGGUGGAGUUGAACUGCAAGCUCUGGGGAUUCAGCUGGUGAGUGUGAAUUGAGCUGGGUCAAAUUGGUUGGACUUCGGGGUCUGUGUAGUAGCAGGUCUCCGCUCUCGGGUGGGGAUGCGCGAUACACUUAUCAAGUGUUGUGCGCCCUGGGGUUCUUCGAGCCAACUUGCCAGUGCACUUUCUCAGAGUGGUCACCACGACCGGCACUGCUGUCUGGCUGUUGCGGUUAAACCGGUUUUGCAUUGGUGUCAUGCCUUUGCUUGAUCGGGAUGGCAGGUAGCUCGUUGGCUUGUCUGUGGCUUGCUGCAGGCUUCCGGCUUUCGGGUGUAAUCAGCUGACUGUGACGGUUCUGUGCAGUGUGUCGGAGACGGCGGCUUGUGGUGUGUCUGUGUGUGCCUAUUGCUGGCGUGUUCGGGUUUGGUCGCUAUGUUGCUUGUUCAAGCAGGCCUGGUGAUAGCUCGGAUUCGUUCGGCGGUAUGGUUGCAAAUGGGACACCUUUUAUCCAGGGCCAACAGUCUGUGGUGUAGUGGUAGACUAUCCACCUGACC